UACGUAGGGGGCAAGCGUUGUCCGGAAUCAUUGGGCGUAAAGCGCGUGUAGGCGGCUGGGUAAGUCCGCUCUGAAAGCCCGGGGCUCAACCCCGGGAGGCGGGUGGAUACUGCUCAGCUCGAGUCCGGAAGAGGAGUGUGGAAUUCCUGGUGUAGCGGUGAAAUGCGCAGAUAUCAGGAGGAACGCCGAUGGCGAAGGCAGCACUCUGGGACGGUACUGACGCUGAGACGCGAAAGCGUGGGGAGCAAACAGG
rnacentral:rRNA from 1 species